rnacentral:lncRNA from 12 species
AUGGCCUUGGCCCUGUCAAUGACCAUCUCUCCAGAACACGCUUCCUCUCUUUUCUACCUGGCAACCACUUACUUGUAUUUCCUCUCCUUCCCUGACCCCACCGCUGGCAGCAAUGCCCCUCUUCUCUGUCAUCCACCAGCCCCUAAGGAUGUUAAAGCCGCACAGCUCUCUGUGUCAUCUUGGUCCAUCUUGUCUUCAGUGCUGCCCAGAGAACACUCCCCACCUAAGCCACCACUGAAAUUAACAGGCGACUGUCCUGCGCGUCUCAGGAUGCCUGGCCAACUGACGCUCAGAGGACAUGACACGUAUUGAUGGCAUCACGGCCUCCAAAUGCUCCACCAAAUGUUCAAACACAGAGCAGGAUGAAGAGGAGAGACACUGGGGUGGCAGCCACAAAUAAGCAGCAGAUGACUGGCACUUCUAGCAAAUAUAUCCUGGUUAAAUUUCAUCUACAUGGAUACAAAGAGAUUUCUGUCUUCAGGAAAUCACCUCCCAGGCUGCUGUGGCCUGGUCUCAGUGUUUAUGUCCCACUUGGUUUGGUGCCAUACAUCAGGGGAAGCUGCCAAUUCUUCCAACUCCAGCUCCUGGGAAGAUAUUCUUAACACUAUCCAGGGACAUCUGGCAACAACCUUCCUCUGACUCCUCCUACACAGAUUAGUGUCAAUGCUGAGAGUAAGUCUUUCGGCAUCGCUCUACACAGUCCUCCAAAGAUAAAGCCCAGCUCAGUUAUUCUUUGCCUACUACCUUAGGAUGGAGAAUAUGUUGGUUCCUCUAAUAAUUGUUUCCCAGUCUAUAUUGCAAGAAAGUCUAUAGGGACACAAUUUCUAUUUCAAAGGAAUGAUCUCCUUCCCCUCUUCUUUGGAGAAAGUAGUUUAGAUAUUGUUAGUUUAAAAAAAAAAAUUCUGGGCAGCCCUGGUGGCUCAGUGGUUUAGCACCACCUUCAGCCCAGGGUGUGAUCCUGGAGUCCCAGGAUCGAGUCCCACAUCAGGCUCCCUGCAUGGAGCCUGCUUCUCCCUCUGCCUGUGUCUCUGCCUCUCCCUCUCUCCUCUGUGUGUCUGUCAUGAAUAAAUAAAUAAAAUAUUUAAAAAUAAUAAUAAAA